rnacentral:rRNA from 1 species
CCUACGGGUGGCUGCAGUGAGGAAUAUUGGUCAAUGGACGAGAGUCUGAACCAGCCAAGUAGCGUGAAGGAUGACUGCCCUAUGGGUUGUAAACUUCUUUUAUAUGGGAAUAAAAUGUUCCACGUGUGGGAUUUUGUAUGUACCAUAUGAAUAAGGAUCGGCUAACUCCGUGCCAGCAGCCGCGGUAAUACGGAGGAUCCGAGCGUUAUCCGGAUUUAUUGGGUUUAAAGGGAGCGUAGGUGGAUUGUUAAGUCAGUUGUGAAAGUUUGCGGCUCAACCGUAAAAUUGCAGUUGAAACUGGCAGUCUUGAGUACAGUAGAGGUGAGCGGAAUUCGUGGUGUAGCGGUGAAAUGCUUAGAUAUCGCGAAGAACUCCGAUUGCGAAGGCAGUUCACUGGACUGCAACUGACACUGAGGCUCGAAAGUGUGGGUAUCAAACAGGAUUAGAUACCCUUGUAGUC